rnacentral:piRNA from 1 species
UGCAACUGCUGGAGUAAUGUCAUCAGAUUGU